rnacentral:lncRNA from 1 species
AGCCAGGUAUUUGGACAGAGGGAAGUGUGAGCCUAACUCUAAGCUUCCACAGCUCUGACCCUCCUGGGACAGUGACAGGAACGAAACAGUCUGUUCAGAAAUCCCUCAACACUGUCGUUCUUUUUAUAGAUCCCAAAGCAAUGGAAUGAAGAAUGGAAAAGCGCUUUGGUGUCACAAAGUGCACAGGAGGGGUCACAACAGAUCAGAUGAUUGAAAAGAAAAAUGAGAAAUUUGUCUUCUCCUGAACUGUAAAAAUGGACACCAGAAGAUCUAACUAAGUCAGAAUGUCUCAGUUACAGUCCAGAUUUCUAUUUAUUACCUACCUCACCGAGAAAGACAAGGCUCCCAUACUGUUAUCCUGAGAACUCCCUGGCUUGCAGGAGCACUCUUUCUUCUGGAGAGCCCUGAAGAAAUAGCUUAUACAAAAAGUCUGUCUGUGCACAAGGGGAAAAAAGGCAGCACUAAGGAUAAGGUAAGCAAUAGCCAUGAAU